UGGGGAAUUUUGGACAAUGGGCGCAAGCCUGAUCCAGCUAUUCCGCGUGUGGGAUGAAGGCCCUCGGGUUGUAAACCACUUUGUAGAGAACGAAAAGACACCUUCGAAUAAAGGGUGUUGCUGACGGUACUCUAAGAAUAAGCACCGGCUAACUACGUGCC
rnacentral:rRNA from 1 species